rnacentral:lncRNA from 1 species
GCAGGGGCAGUGUCUUCUGGGUCACCCUGCCCCGGGCCUGACAGAGGCCACCUGAUGCAGCAGCACAUCCCAGGCCAGGCUUCACCCGCUUCCUGGCCCCAGGGCCCACCAUUGCUCAAUCCUCCUGAGUCACCUGGUGACCUGGGCCUGACAUUGGGUGGUUGUGACGUGCUUUAGUUGGAAAGGGGCUCUUGUGCCCCCGGACUCUGGCUGAGCAGUGGCCUGUGCUCAUGGGCUGGGCGUGACAGGUCGCAGGUGCAGGAGCAGGCACUGCCUCUGGUGCCCUGAUGACCACAGCGGCCUGCCCCGAACAACUCACAGCAGAAGGUGUGUUUAGGACCAGCUUACCUUAAAGUGACACAGAAUUCGAGUAAGGUCUUUCAGAGGAUCUCAAAUAUUUCAUUCUGAUUAAAAACUUGGGGGGUGAUCGGGGAAGAGGCCAGAAGGACCUCAGCUUCUGGGAGCCACGAACAUGAUAUCUGAUCCUGCAGGGUGGCCCUGUGGGGGAGCAUCUCAGAGGCUGCGCCUCCCCUCUGUGGCCAGGCCUGGGAAGGAUUGGGACAGCUACAGAGGAGGCCCACACAGAGGAGGCCAGGACUCCGAGUCUCAUGCCCCACCCACAGGGGAGGGUCUCGGGCCUUCUUCAGGCCCACAGACGGGGGCAGGCAGUCGUCAUCUGUGGAGGCGGUAGAGGAGAGGCCGAGUCUACAUCGGGGCAGCCUGAGGUGAACUCCUGGGCCCUGGGCCCCGCUCUUGGAGUUGGCUGCUGCUGAAUGCCAGCAGGUCAGCCUGCACGGCCUCAGUUCUGAGCCACGGAGAGCACAUGUGCCUUUGGGGGCUGUUUGGCGCCAUCUCCGUGGCUGUCAGCCUUGUCAGCACAGGUUUCUGUGUGUUUUUAAAUCCAUGUGGUGGCCCCUCUGUUCCACUGACUUUUUCACAUCACAGAGCCCUUGACUGUCUAUCCGUGUCUGUGCGUAAGGCAUGAACACACGCCAGAGCCUUUGGUUUCUCAUAGGGGUGCAGCCGCUGCCUGGCGGGGUGGGCGGCAUCACUGAACCCUGCUGUCCCUGUAGAUGGGAGGGCCCAUGAGAUGGUGAACACUGGGGGCCCUGGUGUCUUGGACUUGGCCCUGAGCUCGGUCCUGUCUAGCCUCAGCCCCCCACCCAGGGCCUUCACUCCUGAAACC